GUGCGUAGGUGGUUCCUUAAGUCAGAGGUGAAAGGCUACGGCUCAACCGUAGUAAGCCUUUGAAACUGAGAAACUUGAGUGCAGGAGAGGAGAGUAGAAUUCCUAGUGUAGCGGUGAAAUGCGUAGAUAUUAGGAGGAAUACCAGUUGCGAAGGCGGCUCUCUGGACUGUAACUGACACUGAGGCACGAAAGCGUGGGGAGCAAACA
rnacentral:rRNA from 1 species